GUCGAGGGGAUCUAUAAAUAAUUGACAUACUCCGAGAGCGAGUGACACAUACUUUCAAAAGGCAAAUGGGAUGCUCGUUCCCAUGGGAUUGUUCAAAAUGAGCCAAAGGAGCCAUAAUCAACUCAUAAAAGGAGUCAAAACUUAAAUAAAAACCAAAUCUGGGCCAAGAGGUGUGGAACGCGGACCGCGACAAAAAAGUGCGGCCGCUAAAGUAUCAACACGGACGCGGCCAUUAUUUCGAGGUCCGCGAUAUGAAGAAUCAGAGAGAUAAUUUUUUGGGAACAAACAUGAACGUGGACCGCGACAAGAAGAUGCGGCUGCGAAAGUACCAGCACGGCCGCGAUGGGAAUUCCGCGAACUGCGGUUACUAAGGUUCAGAGAGUGCAUAAUUCAAGCAAAUAUGAGAAUGGCGGUCCGCGUCAAAAUUAUGCGGCCGCGAAAGUCUCUCACGCGGAUGCAGUGGAAAUUGCGCGGUCCGCGAAAUAAGGUUCAACCCAGGUCCAGAUGUGAAGAAAUGCAGACCGCGAUCAGAAUUACGUGGGUGCGAAAGCAAGUGUGCGGCCGCAGUCAGAAUUAUGUGGCCGCAAAACUUCCGCAGGGGUAUUUUUGUUCAGAGAUUUCAGUUUAGUAUAAAUAGAUCAUUUUGUCAAUUUUAGGUUAUGUUAUGUUUUUGCUGAGUAUGUGAGACGGCUAGGUUUUCCUUUUUGGGCAAUUUUGUACAAGAUUUACCUUAUAACAUUAGAUUUUCAUCUUUUAAUUUAGUAUUA